GCCCUGUCGAGCCAGGCUCUGAUAUCCUGCCCACACAGGUGUAUGGAUAAUUUCUCUUUUUAUAUUCUUAACAUCAACACACUUCACCCCAAGAUUAAGACUGCUGGAGUGUCUCUGGGGUGCUCAAAAAACACGGAAAUUGAUAUUAUCUCCUUUGGCUACAAGUUUUCAUGUGUUUUGUGGAAUGAAUGGCUUGGACAAAGGCACUGGUAAAUCACCCGAAACAAGACUGCCUGACACUCAAAUAGCUGCUAAUGGUAGGUAGCUCCUUGACUCCCUGUUACAUCUCUCUCUUGUAUUUAAUCCUUCUCAGACCAUUAUGCAGAAGGACACUGCUUUGCUUAAAGGGUUAUCAGUGUCACCAGGCUCUGGAAAAGAUCUGGGGAUGUCUCAGCCACCUUUUUGCAGAUGGGAUUCAUGUGUGCUUUUGAAAGUAAACAGAGUCUCACUGA